UGCUUGGCGGCGAUAGCGCGGUGGUCCCACCUGACCCCAUGCCGAACUCAGAAGUGAAACGCCGUAGCGCCGAUGGUAGUGUGGGGUCUCCCCAUGCGAGAGUAGGGAACUGCCAAGCAU
rnacentral:rRNA from 2 species